UGCUUUACACAUGCAAGUCGGGCGGCAGCAUGGAGUAGUAGCAAUACUAUUUUGAUGGCGAGCGGCGAACGGGUGAGUAAUACAUCGAGACGUGCCCAUUAGUGGGGGAUAACCUAUCGAAAGAUGGGCUAAUACCGCAUAAUCUCUGAGGAGGAAAGCUGGGGACUUAGGUAACUAGGCCUGGCGCUGAUGGAGCGGUCGAUGGUUGAUUAGCUAGUUGGUGAGGUAAAGGCUCACCAAGGCGAUGAUCAAUAGCUGUUCUGAGAGGAAGAUCAGCCACACUGGGACUGAGACACGGCCCAGACUCCUACGGGAGGCAGCAGUGGGGAAUUUUGGACAAUGGGGGCAACCCUGAUCCAGCAACGCCGCGUGAAUGAAGAAGGCCUUAGGGUUGUAAAGUUC
rnacentral:rRNA from 1 species